rnacentral:rRNA from 1 species
GACGAACGCUGGCGGCGCGCUUAACACAUGCAAGUCGAACGGAAAGGCCUGCUUUCCCUUGUGGAUUGCGGGUACUCGAGUGGCGAACGGGUGAGUAACACGUGAGUGAUCUGCCCCCAACUUGGGUAUAAGCCUGGGAAACUGGGUCUAAUUCCCGAUAGGACUGCAGGGUGGUGCCUGUGGUGGAAAACGAUUUUCUAGUGGUUGGGGAUGAGCUCGCGGCCUAUCAGCUUGUUGGUGGGGUAAUGGCCUACCAAGGCGGCGACGGGUAGCCGGCCUGGGAGGGUCGACGGCCACAUUGGGACUGGGAUACGGCCCAGACUCCUACGGGAGGCAGCAGUUGGGAAUAUUGCACAGUGGGCGGAAGCCUGAUGCAGCGACGCCGCGUGGGGGAUGACGGCCUUCGGGUUGUAAACUCCUUUCGACCGCGAGGAAGCCACCUGGUUGGAAGGGUGGUGACGGUAGUGGUAGAAGAAGCACCGGCUAACUACGUG